ensembl:lncRNA
CGUGUUAGCAAGGAGGGGUAAACACAAACAGGGGAUAUAUUGUUCCUGUAGUUAGAGGGGUGUUGUGGUAUCAGCCACAAACAUGGUAUCCUACAACUCAUUUUCUUUAUCACUUCAUCUCCUCUUUCCUUUUGCAUCAGAUCCUGAUAUAAAGCAAAACAUGGAGAACCCAAGCAUGGAGCAGCUGGCAGAGCCCACCCUAGAGACCCCCACAGCUGAGCUCAGGACUCCUCAUCACAAAGUUUCCAAGAAAGCACCUCUGAGCUUUAACACACCUGACUACUCUAAGGUAAAGUCCAGGAUUCAAUUUCCCAAAGGCCAGUACAAGCCUCCAAAGAUGCAAAGCAAAGCCCAUCCAAUCUUUAACAUACCUGACUACUCUAAGGUAAAGUCCAGGGUUCAAUUCCCCAAAGGCCAGUACAAGCCUCCAAAGACCCAAAGGAAAGCACCUCUGAGCUUUCCCACACCUGACUACUCUAAGGUGGAGCCCAGGGUUAAAUUCCCCAAAGGCCAGUACAAGCCUCCAAAGAGCCAACGCCCCCUCAGGGAGGAUUCCGUGAGCCCCCAGGCCCCGUUACCCUUUACAUCUCCUGCUGACUUGGUGAGGGAAGUCCUGGACCACACAGCAGAUGGAUCCUCCUCUUCAGACUUCAGUAGUCCUCAGCAGGCCAUCACUCUCGUCGCUCAGCUACAGGUGAAGCUGUGCUGGGAGUCAAUACGUCAAGAGUCAAUGGAGGCUCUAAGGUUGAUCAGUGUUUGUGAUAGUGUUCUAAAUGUUCCUCUGACCAAGGAGCUCCAGGUGAAAAUACAGAAUACACCUUCAGCAAUAACGUCUGAAAAAAGAAAAUGCCACACAGAUGAAGAUGAAGUCAAAGAGCUGAAGAAAUGGAUCAAAGUCCUGCAUGAAGUGUGCAACACACAUUAAUGUUGAGCAGGCAGAAGGACAAUCUGGGUCAUCAAUGGUCCAACUUAUCAUCAAGUCCAACACCUGGUGCCGAUGGCACGAAGAAAAGCUGAAAGAGCUGAUGGAGAAUCACACGCUUUCAGAACAUGUCCUACCUUUGGAUCACGUUGGAAGAAGUUCUGGACCUUGAAUAACUGUUGUUACUUGUUGUGUCAAUAAAAAUGCCUUUAGUUUAAAUUAUUCUUUCA